rnacentral:tRNA from 1 species
GCCUCCGUAGCUCAGGGGUAGAGCAGCUCCCUCGUAAAGAGCAGGUCGCCGGUUCAAAUCCGGCCGGGGGCU